rnacentral:tRNA from 1 species
ACGGCAGUAAUCUAGCGGUUUCGCGUGCAUCGGUCUUGCAUGCAGCGCCAAAGGAUUCGACCCUCCCAAGGUCGCUACCCGGGUUCGAACCCGAGCAUGCAAAGGCAUGUUGGCGGAUGUCCCGGCUGCCGUA